rnacentral:rRNA from 1 species
CUGGGCGUAAAGCGUGCGCAGGCGGUUAUUUAAGCCAGAUGUGAAAGCCCCGGGCUCAACCUGGGAAUUGCAUUUGGAACUGGGUAACUAGAGUCUUGUAGAGGGAGGUAGAAUUUCAGGUGUAGCGGUGAAAUGCGUAGAUAUCUGAAGGAAUACCGGUGGCGAAGGCGGCCUCCUGGACAAAGACUGACGCUCAUGCACGAAAGCGUGGGGAGCAAACAGGAUUAGAUACCCUGGUAGUCCACGCCGUAAACGAUGUCUACUMGGAGUUUGGUGCCUUGAGCWCUGRGCUCUCAAGCUAACGCAUUAAGUA